AGAGUUUGAUCAUGGCUCAGGAUGAACGCUAGCGGGAGGCCUAAUACAUGCAAGUCGAGCGGUCAGCAAUGAUAGCGGCAGACGGGUGCGUAACGCGUAUGAAACUUGCCCACACAGGAGGAUAGCCUUGGGAAACUGAGAGUAACCCUCCAUAGUCUUGAGUUGCCGCAUGGUAGCUUAAGUAAAACUUCGGUGGUGUGGGAUAGUCGUGCGUCCGAUUAGGUAGUUGGUAGUGUAAUGGACUACCAAGCCGACGAUCGGUAGCUGGUCUGAGAGGAUGAUCAGCCACACGGGCACUGAGACACGGGCCCGACUCCUACGGGAGGCAGCAGUAAGGAAUAUUGGACAAUGGACGGAAGUCUGAUCCAGCCAUCCCGCGUGGAGGAAUAAGGCCCUAUGGGUUGUAAACUCCUUUAGCAGGGGAAUAAAAAGGUCAUUUAUGAUCAAUUGAAGGUACCCUGAGAAUAAGCACCGGCUAACUCCGUG
rnacentral:rRNA from 1 species